GGCGGCAUGGUGUAAUGGUUAACAUAUCAGGCGGUCUACUGAAGAUGCUGGUUCGCUCCCAGCCGCCA